GUGGAGCCAAAAUUAUGUAGUCAAUAUUCCACAUACAUCAAAAGGCAUGGGGAUGUUUCUGUAAGUCAGCGGUCCUUGAAUUAUUUUUUAUAGUUAUAAAUAUAACUUUUUACGGUCACAUGACAAAACUUGCUUAUAAUAUAACCUGUUUUGUCAUUUAAUGGUUUAUAAGGCAUUGAAAGGUAUAACUUUAUAGUAUGAGAAUUUUAAUUUCUCCCUCCCAAACUCAGAUUAUUUCACUAAAUGAUCACAUACAGCUAAUCAGCAAAUUCCACUAUAUAUUUCAAACAACAGUUGACAACAGAUCAGUUAGCCCAGAAACAACGCUUGUUUUGUGAUUUCAGGAUUUUCAGGCCAAACAGAGCAUGACUAUAAUAUUAGAUGCAACCCUUUUCAUAUUAUUUCAGUGCGAUAUGCUGUACAAUGGCUGGGAAGGGUUGUAUUACUCUUUUUGUUUGUUACUAUAUUAUGUACAUUUGUGUUUUUAUAUUGUAAACCGCCCUGUGAUCCUCAGAUGAAGUGUACAUAAUUUACUAAAUAAAUAAAACAAAUUCUGUAGAAGAAGAAAAAAAACCCUACACAUUAAGAGCUUUUAUUUAUAAAUAUGUAAGAAAAAAUCUAUUCUCAACAAAAGCCUAUCAGUAGUGCAUUUGCUUUCGAUGGGGAAAUUUGAUCCCAAUCUCCUCUUUUCUAUUUGCUUUUUCUUUUCUUAAAAAAAUCCUUCCCAGGGCAAACUUUUCUGUUCAUCUGAGCUGAAGCAAACUCAAUUUUCUUUUUCAUUGCGGCAUUUCUUUCAUGAGAUCAGCAGUGGUAUUAUUGAAGAUGGUAUUACUAUAAAUGGACACAGCCUAGCUUGUGCAUUAAAGUUGUGAUGAUUUCCAGAAAGAUGCCAGGCAGUUCUUUAAGUAAGCAUUGUGGCUAGAAUGCAGGAGACGCACCAAAGUUCCGAAGGAAAGAGAUGAAAAAUUGUGUCCCUUAGACUGGCUGCACUGUGGUCAGGAGUCUUUGUUUAGACCAUUUUUACACUCUUGCUGUAUACUUAUUUGAGUAGUUUUUCUUUGUCUAUUAACCAGUAGAAUGUGACUUCUGUGUUCCACCUCUGCUUUACGUCAACUUUUCCCACCAAAUAGUUAAAUUUUAAAGCAAACUCUCACCUGAGCACCUCCGUCAUUAAUGGACUUUUGUCUUUAUAACAGGCUUGUCAAGUAAGGAGAUAUUACCCCUCGACUUUGAAGGAAGGUAAUGAGUCAGAGAGCAAAGACCAUACAGGAACUGCGCAAUUCAGUAUGUGAAACUAAUCCUCACCCCAGCAUUCUAAUAAUACAAUCUCCACAAACCACACAGAACACCCAUUUUGCUCCCUCCACCUCUGCUAUUAUCUGGUGGCUUGAAAUGCAGAAUCAUGAGAUCAGCAUCAGCAGAAUUUCCACAUUUUUGGGUUCCCUUUAAUAAUUACCUGCAUGUCAUACAGAUAGUUAACAGAUCUCCACUUCCAUAAUAAUAAAUGCUACAUAUAUGCUAAAUUUGUGGCUGUCACCAGGGGAAACACAACAAAAUAUGCACAUUAGAGAACUCAGUUCAAUAAAUUUUGCCUGAGAUUACCCAGACUCCUGCACAGUUUCUGCUGCAACUGUCUCCAUCGAAAUACUGAAGCUACAUUUGCACCAGGCAUUUAAAGCACCAUUAUGCCAAUUCAGCAGUCAUGGCUUCCCCCAAAGAAUCCUGGGAACUACAGUUGGUAAGGGUGCUGAGAAUUUUGAAGGCAUCCCUAUUCCCCUCACACACCUGCAAUUCCUAGAGUUCCCUAGGAAGAGGGACUGAUUGUUAAACCACUUUGAGAAUUGCAACUUCUUAUUUAGAAAAUAUGGAUACGCAUAAUGAUUGUGAAAGUGUGAUUUCUUCUCUAGGUUGCGUUGUAUGUUUAUUAUUUGAAAAUGAUAACAAAUAUUUUAAAAAGUUUUUAUUUCAGAAUGCUGGGUGUCUAUAAUCAUGGAUACAGGCAUACAUAUGAAGGUAUAAGAUGGAGAAAGUGGCUAGAUGCAUAUUACCUAUAGUUGCCAACUCCCUAGCUAAUGUGGCUCCUGUGCCAGCAAGAGAAACAUGACAGGAAAUUCAGUGCUGCAGCUGUUUACAUAACUGCAAUUCCUGAAUGGGAAAAGUUGAGUUCACUAUUGAAGAAAGGUUUUUGGAAUGAACACUAUUCUUGCUUGGCUAGAUGUUUGUUGCCCAAUCUCAUUCCUACUAAUUGAAUACUAUUCACAGCUCUACAAACAUUACGGCAUACAUUGAUCAGAACAAGUAUGGCUACUUUAUCUAGACUAUUUUAUCUACUAUAGUAAACUAAUUCAGGUCUCUUUGUUUAAACUGUUUUGCUGAUGUCAUACAUUGAUCUGGUUUCCUCAUCACGUUAAGCCAAACUAUGUGUGGGUUUUCAGACUGAAGACUGUGUAUGUAGCACUCCUCCCUUGGUGCUGCUGCACUAUCUGUGACUAAACCACGGUUUGGCUUAGUGUUAUGUCUGAACCCAGGUUUGUGGUUUGUCUUGUUCCAGACAAACCAUGAGCCAUAACCAAAGCUUGUUCUUUGCUUACCUCUUGCAUUUUGUCUGGUGGAGACAAACCACAACCACAUGUUUGGAUGUAACACUAAGCCAAACCAAGGUUUAGUCAUGGGUAGUGCAGCAGCAGCAGCAGCAGAACAACCAGCAGCAAAGCAAUGAGACCAUAAUAUUCAUUCCAUAAAGCCAUGCAUAUAUUUGUUCAUGCAAAACCAUGAUUUAUAUUGUAUUUUGCAUGUUAGAGAGAGAAGCAUAACAAUGCAAAGGAUUAUAUGUGCUCUUUAUUUUGAAUGGGAGGUAUGUUGGUUUUAAACCAAAUCCUAUUAGAAUAGGUUUUUUAUGAGUGCUGGACAUUCACAGUGUUCAAAAUUGAAGUAAAGAGGAACUGUAGGUGUUUUAAAGCUUAUAUUGUUUGCUGAAUGCCUUCACAGAAUACGUAAACAAAUGAACAGAAUGAAACAUAUCUUUUAGUGAAACCACUAAAGACUCCAUUACACGAACACAGGUAAUGUCAAUACAGCUUCAUAAUCCUGAUUCAGCCCCUUUAUACCUCUUUACUUGCAUGGAUUAACUAAUCGUUGGAACUAUGUUAGGACUGUGACAUCAGCCACACAUCCAAAAGAAGGACUGUGACUCAGUGCUUUGCAUGCAAAAGGUCCCAGCAUAACUCCUCAACUUCUUCAGGUAUGGCUGGGAAGAGACCCCUGUUUGAAAUCCUAGAGAAUCACUGCCAGUCAGUGUAGACAAUAUUGAACUAGAUGAACAGAAUGUCUUACUCAGAAUAAAGCAGUUUCUAUGAUCCCACUGGGAAGAGAUACUGAGCAUGUGUAGGAGAUUGCACUGGACCCUCAUGCACAACUUAUGAAAAAGUGUGCAUACAGUUUGUAUGCAUGUUCAGUGUAUACUUUGGAAGGUCUGCAGCUCAGGGGUAGAGUGCAUACUUUGUGUGCAAAAGGUCCAAAGUUCAGCCUCUGACCUUUCCAACUGGGGCUCAGAAAGAUUCCCAUCUGAAAACCUGAAGAUCCAAUGCCAGUCAGCGUACAACUUAGUCUAAGGCAAUUUUCUAUACAGUUAUAUCUACAGUUUCCCAAAGUAUGUUUCUCCCCCCCCCCCCAAUGUUUUUAUUAGCAAUUUCAACAUAACAACAUAUCAAAACAUAUCAUAUUGAUUAUUUCAGCCCCCCUCAAACCCUCCCUCCCCCCCGAGACUUCCCUUAGCUCCUCUCUCUGAUUUCUCAGCCCAUAUUAUUCUCUGCAUGUUAUAAAAUUAUACAAAUCCUCACAUUAUCUGUCUACCAUGUUAUCAAUCGAUAAAUUUGUGUAUGUUUAUUCAAAACCUGCCAAGGAGUCCAAUUCAUUUUGUUGUCUUUUUAAGUACUUUGUGAAAAUUUCCCAUUCUUCUUUAAAGUCACAGUUGUCCUUAUCUCGUAGUUUGUAUGUCAGUUUAGCCAGUUCUGUAUAGUUCAUCAAUUUCUCUUGCCACUGUUCUUUUGUCAGGGUUUCCUCAUUCUUCCAUCCUUGUGCUAUCAAGACUCUUGCCGCUGUUGUUGCAUACAUAAAUAAAUUCUUUGUUUUCCUUGGCAGGUCUCGUCCUACAAUCUCUAACAAAAAUGCUUCUGGUUUUUUUUACAAAUGUCAUUUUAAACAUUUUCUUCAAUUCAUUAUAUAUCAUUCCCCCCCCCUUUUUAACUUCUCUACAUUCCCACCACAUAUGAUAAAAAGUCCCUUCUUUUUCUUUACAUUGCCAACAUGUAUUUGACCCGGUCCCAAAGUAUGUUUCAAGGGCAGGUCUGUAUAGCGUAGAAGGGGAGGACUUCUUUGCAAAGUAGCACCAUGUUUAUGAAUUAAACAAAUACUACUGCAGACACUAAAGGUAUCCAGUACUGUAUUCUUUUCACACACAAAUGCUCUUCUUUUGAAACUUUUGACUACUUAUGGGAGUGGUUAGCUGCAAAGCUUCCCUUGCAGGGAAAGUAAUAAUUCGGUGUUGCUUUUCCAUCCAGAAGAAAUAUAAAAAAGGGGAGGUUAGGAAUAAAUACGCCUAUGAUAUGCUGUUGUGGUGGUGAAAAUACACUUUGUUUACUGUUUUUGGACACCCAGUAUCUAAAGUUAGAAAAUGACAGUAAUUUCAACGCCACACUUUUGAAACUACACUUAACACGCAAAAGACUGUAAGCUAUUUUCGAGGAAUUCAGCCAAAAGCUUGAGUAAUUAGCUAACCUUCCACUGUGUUGCCCAACCAACCCUACCCUGUCUCACCUUCUAAACCCAGGAUUAUCCCCACCCAAAUGGUAUUACCUCCCCUCCCCACUUCCUUUUGAGGCCAGACCUCCCAUCUGUGCUCCGCUUUUUAAUGCUCUGCAGCUGGCCCACCUGCAUUGCAUUGCAGGGCAGAUAAUCCCC
rnacentral:lncRNA from 1 species